rnacentral:rRNA from 1 species
GACGGAGGAUGCAAGUGUUAUCCGGAAUCACUGGGCGUAAAGCGUCUGUAGGUGGUCAAAUAAGUCAACUGUUAAAUCUUGAGGCUCAACCUCAAAAUCGCAGUUGAAACUAUUCGACUAGAGUAUAGUAGGGGUAAAGGGAAUUUCCAGUGGAGCGGUGAAAUGCGUAGAGAUUGGAAAGAACACCGAUGGCGAAGGCACUUUACUGGGCUAUUACUAACACUGAGAGACGAAAGCUAGGGUAGCAAAUGGG